rnacentral:rRNA from 1 species
AUGUCCCAUCUGCUGCUGGGGAGCCAAGGAUAUAAAGCACCUGAUGUUCACGGGCGGCGUGGCAUGCGAGGAAGGUUUGGCAAGCGCAGGGACUUGAGGUGUUCAUCAAACAAGCAACGCAGAUUGAUCGAUCACGGGUCAGUGAUGCUUGAGGAAAUUUUGAGUACUGUCAAAGAUUCAGCGGUUAUGGGUCUGUACGGUGUACAGAAGACGAUUGCUGUAGGGGCAUGGUAUAUCUUGUGGCAGCGACAGGAGGUUGUUAAUGGAGGAAAGGUGGAACCUGCUAAGUCAACUGUGUUUGCAAUUCAGGCUAUUAGCGGGAACUAUGCAAAAGCUCUGAGCAGUUCACAACCAGCCCUGAUACGAUGA